GCGUGUCCUGCUUAUCUUGCGCUGUUAACUGACCAGUCUUAGCGAAGAUUAUUUUGAAGCCCACACUUAUCUGGGAGUUGUUAAAAGUCUCGAUACCGCUAGAAGAGUUAGUGAAAUCGCACUGCAGGAUGGACAUCCAUAUACCUUUACCGUGCAUUUCAAGCUCCUCUCCUCAAACUCCUUUGGUAUCUUUAGUGCCUAACAAAAAGGUUGCAAGCGAAAGACCUGAAGAGGCAGAUUCCAAGAAUUUCGACCCAUGUGAACAAUGCUCGGUUGACUUUAGGAUAACUUUGCUGAUGCUGCUCCUGCAAGACUUUUAGACAAACCAAAUAUAGCUUUGAAGAUUUAGGCUUUUAGCCGGUAAGAUUGACCAAGUCCCUUCACAUGUAAUUUUAUAUAAAAUAAAAAAUAAAGCCCCGAAUUGAGCCGCGCUAUGCAGAUGAUACAGUGUGAUGUUCAACCGGUGAGCCUUUCCUCACGCCGCCAAUGCGAAAAGGGCUGAAGCAACCGUUCAAUUAAGCAUAGGUACCAGAUUUUGUGGUGAUUGCGGGUGCCCAUCUCAUGCAUAUUCAGCUUCUUUUGUUGGACUGUGGCCGGAGGAAGCCAAGUAUUAAUCUUCAGCUAUUUACACAACCCGACUGAUAAUCGGCUUCUUCCAAGAAUGCGACCCACGCGGCUUCGGAACCAAAGCCCGACAAAGACAAUGGUCAUUAUCUCACUCUUGGGCGAGAUGAUGGACGGUUUGGUUCUGCCACGUUAUUUAUAGCUUGUCCGCAACGGCCGUUAAAAAGCCCAUUUCAAUGUGAAAAAGUGUAAAUUGGCAGCGAUAUUUCCAGCAUUCCUGGUGAAACUUAGAAGGUGCGAAAAGGUUUUACCAGGUCAACAAGGACUGAAGAAAGGUUUGUAAAGAUGGAUGUGGAAAACUUUCAGAUUCAUUGCAGCUUUAUAGAGAAGAUUCACACCGUUAUGCAAAGCGAAGCGGCUUAACUGCUAGAAAGAAGGCCCUCGCCCCAUGCGAUCGAGCAUGGGCAACUGAGACCCCGCUGGCUUCGUGACGGUCGAAAUUCCGGAAUUUUAAAACAAACUAAAACAAACACCGAAGGCCUGAAAACCGUCACGAACCAAUUGUUUUCUUGUUGCUUGUUUUGCAUAGUGGCUGGCCGUUUUUGCAGCAUUUCCAUACAACCAUAUCGGAGGCAGCUGAUUAGAGGUGGUCAACCGUACCUUGGUUUGACCAAAAAAUUGGGUUGGAGUUGUCAA